CUCUCUCUCUCUCUCUCUCUUUAAGAUUGGGCAUUUGUCUCUGCCUCCUCCAGUGAAUGUCGAAUCCUGAACAAUUAAUGAAUCUAAAAUACUUAUUCAUGAAAUCUCUCUUCUUCUCAGCUUUGAUUUUCUAGCUCUUCUUUUAUUUUUCUCUUUUUGAUUCAUUUAACUAUUUACUUUGUCAAAGCAUUUGGUUUUUUUAAUUCACUUUGUUGUUCUUUUACUGAAUUUAAUUGCAUUUGAAUUCAUUUUUUAAUUUACUGGAUUUCAUUUUUCUUCUAUCAGGUACAAUUCUUAUCUUCUUUCUAAGGCCUUAUUUUGAAAACCAACAAGCUGAUAAAAACUGUAAGUUAGAGGGAAGUUUUCACUAGAGCACUCUUUACUUUCUGAUAUUUGAGAUCAAAUUGAGGGAAUAUUGAAAAAUUGCUUGCACGUUUGUUGAAUGAAAAUAGUCAGAAUGGCCUUGGUUUAAACUUUGUUUCAGAAAUUUUGUAUAAAUUAGCCAUUGAUAAUAUUUUAACGCAUUGGCUUUGGCAUUGAUUUUUUAUUAUUAUAUUUGGGGGAAAGAAUGAUGGUUUGGAGUAAGAUUCACGGGUGUUUCACUAUAAAUUACAAUAUGUGGAACCCAAGGGUAUUUCUUUUUCAUUUUCUUUUUCUACUUCAAAAAAGAGCUAAAAUUCUUGUUUGGGGGCCUUAGAAUUGUCUAUAUUGUGGCAAGCCUGAUCUGUAAAAUUGAUUGUACUGCCUAAAUGAAUAUUAAUUUAGUUAUUAUACAAUUUAGGAUAAAAAUUUUGCUGUCUCCCACAAAGGAGAGUGAAUCUUAAUAUGCUACUUGCUUACCUUGCUUCCAGUUUGGUUCUUCUCUUUGCUCAUUAUUACUUAAGCUUUCGACUUGGUUCUUUGAUUAUCCUUGGAUUUCUUAUAAAAUUCCUAAUUCUUUUUAAUUGGGUGUAUUAUUUGUUAUCUUUGACAGAACGAAACCAUGGUAGCAAUUAAAGCUCCACGUGGCACUACUUUGGAAGUCUCAGAUCCUGAUGAGGUAAUCCCAUAAGCAGACGCCGGUCGAUCAAGUACAAAAUGCAUAAUUUUUGUGCAUGCAUACUCAAUAUGGGCUAUUAACUAUCCCCAAAGGAGAUACAGGAUAGUCCUUAGAAGUACAAUGGGUCCCAUAGAUGUUUAUCUUGUCAGUCAAUUUGAAGAGAAAUUCGAGGAGAUUCAUGGCAUUGAGCCAACACCAAAUUAUCCAUCAACUUCAGGCUUUAAUGAAAAUCUAGCAACUACAAUGGUCGCAGGGGAGAGCAGGGGAAAGGAGAUCGAAAUGCAGGGUGAAGAGGCUCAUAGAAUGUGCUCAGAUCUUAACACCUCACAGGAUUUUGUGAGCGGGAUCAUGAAGAUUGUUCCCUCAGAUGUAGAUAGUGAUGCGGAUUACUGGCUAUUAUCAGAUGCUGGUGUUAGCAUCACAGACAUGUGGAGCACUGAGCCUGGGGUUGAGUGGAAUGAGUUUGGAACACUUCAUGAUGAAUAUGGCAUGGCAAAUGUCAGCACGCCUCGAGCCCAAACUCCAUCCAAUCAAACUGAAGUUCCUUCUACUACUAAUAAUAAUGCAAGGUGAAAUGAAAAUGUCAAAAUGAUACAGGUGCUUGUUUUUGGUUGCAAACCAAUGAUAUCUAUGCAUCCGCAUGGCCUUCAGCUUUGACUGCUGUGGGGAUUUUCUGGUGGUUCCUGGGAUUAGCAUAAAAAAUGUCCUUGAAGUCCUGAGGAACUAAAGAAUAGGAAGUAGCUCGUGCAUUGUACAGAGCAAUUAAUAUAGCUAUCCAUGUAAUCCUGGAGGAAAUAAGAUCUGUGUAUUUUUGAGUUCAUCCUUGUACAUUGCUCCAAUUCGGUUUUGUUGCAUUCAGAAGCUUGGCAUGUGGAUAGGCGGUACAAGUUAUGUAAGAUAUAAUGUGAUGGCAAAUAUUAAUCUGACUAAAACUGGAAUUGAAUCUCUGAAGAACCCUCU
rnacentral:misc_RNA from 1 species